rnacentral:lncRNA from 1 species
AAUCAAAUCAAAGGGUAGAAAGGGUUUUGAGAUAAGGUUGUGAUGUAAGAAAGAAAUCUCCAAACAUAAUUAGUGCACAUCCCUCUAUCUCUAAUUUUUUUUAUCAUACAAAAUAAAAUUUCCAUGCCCCAAUCAGAUGGAUUUCUAUUCUAUUUUGAAUCAUAUUCAAAUAAAAAAAAAUUAAGAAAAAAGAAUACCAAAUAAGGUGGGGCACCAACUAUUGGCGCCCCCUCGCCUUUCACGUGCGCA